AAGAACAGAAUGAGGAACAAUGUUCUCCCAGGUCUGGUCUGAAUUUGGGAGGGCUGACUUGCCUAAUUUUAGAGGUGUUGUGCCCAAGAGGAAUGGAGGCCGGGUUUCCUUGCUUCUUUACCAAUCUACUUAUCGGUUUCCUGUUCAACUCCCUUCCUUUGCUUAAAGAAAUUCCUUUGGAUUUUCAUGGGGGAGCAACCAAGAAGAGUUCUUCAGAAACUCGGAUUUAAAAAUUCCUUUUCUAGAGAAUUAAAAUAUAUUAAUAACAGAUUUGACUUUAGAUAAAUGUCACACUCCAGUAAAGAGACUUUAAGAAUUACUCAGUAAUCAAACCAUGUGAAUUCAAUGGUCUACAGGCUUGGAAUCUUAAGAAAUUGCUGAUGAUGACAUUGGCUGCCUCGGUCUUAGGAACUGCCAGAAAUAGCCACUAACCAAGAGAAAGAGAGCAAGGAUUAGCCCUGAAUAAUUGGUCAACGAUGCUGAUUUCGUUGGUUUCCUGUUCCUUUUGCUUCCUGGAAAAUACAGACCUACAAAGCAAACAUUGUGUGUGGGUUGAUGCUACAGCAUCGUCUGAACUUGGAAGGAUGAUCAUGGAUUCUGAUGCCUCGUGGUCUCACUACAGGUCUAAUUUUCAUGUGUUUUAGGAGUCUUGGGAUUAGGUUAUGUACUCUGACUCUGGGCAAAUGGAAACAUCAGGCAAGAAUUAUUUAUCUCAUAACAUUUCUUACAAGGUAUUAACUUUUGGACCAUUUUGGAGAAGAUGAGCAAAUUCAUUUCUCAAGACCAGCAGGGUUGGUUGCUAUGAGCAGGCCUGGGUCAGCACAUAAGACCUGCCCUUGCUGACCUGGGAAGUUUCUAUAUAUGAUGAAAAUCUUUUUCAUAAUCGGAUGAUGGUAACUGGCAGGGUGUCACUAGAUUAUGUAGAUGAUGGUUUAUGUUAACAACAACUAUUUUGUUAAAAAGUAUUUGUUGAACUUCUACUUUGUGAGAGGUCUUCUUCCAGGUGCUGGGCAGUAGUACCUCUUCAUUGUACUUUGAACUCUUUCUUUGUUAUUUUAUUUCAUUCACAUUUGUAAGUUCAGCCAGAGUAAAAUCUUUUCUUAACUCAAAUUUUUAUUUUGAAUUGAGAAAUAAUAAUUGUAUAUAUUUAUGGGGUACAAUGUGAUGUUUUGAUAUAUGAAAACAUUGUAGCAUGAUUAUAUCAAGCUAAUUAACAUUUUUAUCACCUUACAUAGUUACCAUUUUUAUGUAGUGAGAACAUUUACAAUCUACUUUUUAAAGCAAUUUUGAAACAUGUGAUACAUUAUUAACUGGUUACCAUGCUGUGUAACAGAUCUUGAAACUUAUCGCUCCUGUAUAACUGAAACUUCGUCUCCUUUCACCAACAUCUCCCCAUUCUAUUCUCCCCACCCUGCCCCUCAGCCUCUGGUAAUCACCAUUCUACCCUCUAUGUCCACGAGUUUGAUUUUUUCAGAUUCCACAUAUAAGUGAGAUCUUGUGGUAUUUGUUUUUUUGCACCUGGCUGAUUUCACUUAGCACAAUGUUCUCCAGAUUCAUCCAUGUUAUUGAAAAUGACAGAAUGUUCUUCUUUUUAAAAGUUGAAUAGUAUUCCACUACAUUUUUUAAUUCAUUCAUCUGUUGAUGGACAUUUAUGUUGAUUCCGUAUCUUGGCUAUUGUGAAUAUUGCUGCAAUGAACAUGAGGGCACAGAUAUCACUCUGAGGUGCUGAUUUCACUUCCUUUGGGUAUAUACCCAGAAGUGAGAUUGCUGAAUGAUAUGCAAAUUCUAUUUUUGUUUUUUUGAGGUGCCUCCACACUAUUUUCCACAAUGGCUAUACUAACUUACAUUUCUACCAACAGUGUAGAAGCGUUCCCUUUUCUCUACAUCUUUGCCAACAUUUUUUAUCUUUUGUCUUUUUGAUAAUAGCUGUUCUAACAGGGAUGAGAUGGGAGCUCAUUGUCAUUUUAAUUUUCAUUUCCCUGAUAAUUACUGAUGUUGAGCAUUUUUCAUAAGCCUACUGGCUAUUUGUAUGUUUUCAAGUAGCAAAAUAUUGAUCUGACUGACUCUCUCUCUUUUUUUUUUCUCCCUCUCUCCCUCUACACCCCACCCCACACACACUCCAUUAUAAAUAUUUAUGGAGGUUGCAGUGGGAAAGACAAUCAUAUAACUCUACCAUUACUUGCGUAUAUUUUAAAUUAUUAUCUGCAAGACUUCUUGAAUCCAUGUCCCGAUAAACAGAAAUGUUUUGAUCUAGACUUUGCUGAAGUAUAUUUCAAGGUGGGAAAUAUUGGUUAUUCAUUUCAAAAAUAGUAAUAAGUAACACAUUAUGUUAUAUUGCUGAGGUGUAUAAGAUACAGAACUGUAGAAAUCCAAAGAAGGAAAUACCUUUAAAGGAAGCUCUCCAUGGAAACCUAUCAAGCUAUGAAUUUAAAGCAUGCUAAGUGGCUUCUGGCAAAGCCACAUCAAUGGAAAGGUUUAUCACUUAACAAUGUCCACACACGGAAUGCCAUAGUUCUGUGGGAACUACAGCCAACGACUCAUAGGUUUUCUGGACAGCUACACAAAUGUUUUCUUUUAGUGUGAUACUUAAAGUAUUUGACUUUAAUUCUGAUAUUUUCUCUCAUGCCUCCACAUCUGAAAGAAUUCAACGCUAUCUUUAUUUGAAGUCUGUCCUGGUUAGCAAGCUGGCUGGUGGUGAUGUAUCACAUACCGUGGUUUCUGUGAUGUGGGCUGCUGACUAUGGAAAGAUGAAUGAAGAUCACAAUCACAUUAAGUUUGAGGACUAUGGUCAGACUUAAACCAUUAUCCUUGAGGUGUAUGGCUGUUGAUUUAUCAAUGUUCUCAUUUUUAUGAAGGAAAUCUUCUCAAGGUUGCUGUAUGCUCUGUGUGUGUUGUAUGUCAAAUAAGGUAUAAUGUUAUGUUCUCUCAUAACUUCAUAAAUAAGAAUGUAUUGCUUUGAGAGAUGGAAUAAAAUGACAAGUUUUAUUUGGCAUCUAU